UCCUACGGGAGGCAGCAGUGAGGAAUAUUGGUCAAUGGGCGGGAGCCUGAACCAGCCAAGCCGCGUGAAGGAAGAAGGCGCCAGGCGUCGUAAACUUCUUUUGUCGGGGAACAAAGGGCGCCACGCGUGGCGUUGUGAGUGUACCCGAAGAAAAAGCAUCGGCUAACUCCGUGCCAGCAGCCGCGGUAAUACGGAGGAUGCGAGCGUUAUCUGGAUUUAUUGGGUGUAAAGGGAGCGUAGACGGAUGGAUAAGUCUGAAGUGAAAGCCCGCGGCUCAACUGCGGGACUGCUUUGGAAACUGUGCA
rnacentral:rRNA from 1 species